rnacentral:rRNA from 1 species
UACGUAGGUGGCAAGCGUUGUUCGGAUUUAUUGGGCUUAAAGGGCGCGUAGGCGGCUUUGUAAGUCAGUGGUGAAAUCCGGUAGCUUAACUAUCGAGGUGCCAUUGAUACUGCAGAGCUUGAGUACAGAUGAGGUAGGCGGAAUUGACGGUGUAGCGGUGAAAUGCUUAGAUAUCGUCAAGAACACCUAUAGCGAAGGCAGCUUACUAGGCUGUAACUGACGCUGAGGCACGAAAGUGUGGGGAUCAAACAGG